GACGAACGCUGGCGGCGUGCUUAACACAUGCAAGUCGAACGGAAAGGCCCUGCUUUUGUGGGGUGCUCGAGUGGCGAACGGGUGAGUAACACGUGAGUAACCUGCCCUCGACUGUGGGAUAACUUCAGGAAACUGGGGCUAAUACCGGAUAGGAGCUCCUGCUGCAUGGGGGGGGUUGGAAAGUUUCGGCGGGUGGGGAUGGACUCGCGGCUUAUCAGCUUGUUGGUGGGGUAGUGGCUUACCAAGGCUUUGACGGGUCGCCCGCCUGAGAGGGUGACCGGCGACAUUGGGCCUGCGAGACGGCGCAGACUCGUACGGGACGCAGCAGUGGGGAAUCUUGCACAAUGGGCGGAAGCCUGAUGCAGCAGCGUCGCGUGCGGGAUGACGGCCUGCGGGUUGUAAACCGCUUUCGCCUGUGACGAAGCGUGAGUGACGGUAAUGGGUAAAGAAGCACCGGCUAACUACGUG
rnacentral:rRNA from 1 species